CGUGUGUGUGUUUGAUCAGAGAAGAGAAAGAAAGGGGGAACCCCUCGUGAACCCUAAUCAACGAAAUUGGAUGCGAAUUGGGCUGAAUUCGAACUUGCAUGAGUCGAAAUAGUGAUUAUCUAAGCAAGCUUUAGCCAAGCAUUAGGGAUCACAUGGAAAUGGACUCAAGCAAGAAAGACUAACGGGUUAAGAGGGGACAAGGAAGCCAAUGAGAAAACGGACGCUCAAGUUAAGUGACUUCCAUAAUCGCUUCUUAGUUUGUUUAAGUAAUAUAAUGUCUAAUUAUUAAGUUCAUAUGAAGUUGAGGUCAAAUCAAUAGAUUAUUUUGAUAAAUGCAUGAACGGGUCGAAUAAUUCGUAAAUGAAUAAUAAGCCGAACAUGAAUAAGUUAAGAAAUUCCUUAACUCAGAUGUUGGAUUUCAAGUUCACAUGAUAGAAUGUUAAUUUACAAUCAUGUAGGAAGAAACGGGAGGUUAAUCGGGUGAACGGUUUGAAAGUUACGCAAGUUUUAGCGUAAACGGACGAAACAAAGAUGCAGGUGCCGUAAAUUACGCCCCAGGCCGGAAUUUACAGCCUCCCCUGCAUCAGAAUCAUGUUUGAGGCUGUAAUCAGUAGGUAGGUCAUACUUUAGGCCGUAUUUUAGGCCGUAUUUUACUGGGCAGGCUGUAAUUUAUGUUCCCCGGAGGUUUGGGCGGUUUCCUUUUAUUAGAUUGUGACCAAAUGUGCUAAACAUGCGAAUGGGUGGGAAUUGUUUAUAAGUAGUCUAUUAUCGAAUGGUCAUAUGCAUGACUAGGGAGGUGUGUUAAUUAAGUUGAAGUGAAUAGGAUGGUGUGUAGGUAUGAAUAAUUGGUGUCAUGGUGAGUUUAAAUCGUAUAAACUAGUAUGCAUGAUGUGUAUGGAAGAUAUAUAUAUAUAUAUAUAUGCAUGUUCAUAGUUAUGCGAAAGGCGUGCAUUGUGUGAUAGUUAAAUAGAUGUAUAUAAACGGUUGGCAUCCUUUUUACGAAGAUGUAGUACUUGAACAUGUUGAGAUUACGGGUUUGCUAACCAAGUUAUUAUUGAGUAUGUUUGAAAGUGCAGGUUUAUGUAUGUCGGACUUUCGAAGUGUUGAUAUAGAAAUAAAACGAUUGAAUGUUGGAAGGAUAAUUGGGUGGAAGUAACUUAUGCGGUUAGAGUACGCUAUGGACGUUUUAGUUUAUACAAUAUUUUAUGCUUGGUCGUCAUCAUCUACUAACGGGUAAAUCCUCAAUUUAGGCGACUUGGAGAAUCGGAGCGAGCGCGUGUUCAUGUUAUGUCAUACCAAACGCUUCCGCUAGCUUGUCCAAAUGUUUUUGGUCCAAAAUUUGUUGUAAUGGUUUUUAGUAGUAUUUUGUUGAACAAAUUGUAGAAUUGUAUCUAGUUUGAUUAUGAUUAAAACAGGGGUAUGCCCGUUUUACGGACGGGUCAUGCCCAAAUUUUGUUAAAA